rnacentral:hammerhead_ribozyme from 1 species
AUCCAGCUGACGAGUCCCGAAUAGGACGAAAUCCGCGUCCUCUAU